UGUGGAGACAGAAACAGCUUGCUGAGCAGGCACCUUUUGUGACCAAUAUCUACACUUGACCCAGUUCAGAUUAAGGUAAUGGAGCCGGGCUCAGCAAGAGGAAAAAUGCAAAGGGCGCAUGCAGCUGAAAAAACAAAGCAUAAUAUCAA